rnacentral:rRNA from 1 species
UUGAACGCUGGCGACAUGCCUUACACAUGCAAGUCGAACGGCAGCACGGGUGCUUGCACCUGGUGGCGAGUGGCGAACGGGUGAGUAAUACAUCGGAACAUGUCCUGUAGUGGGGGAUAGCCCGGCGAAAGCCGGAUUAAUACCGCAUACGAUCUACGGAUGAAAGCGGGGGACCUUCGGGCCUCGCGCUAUAGGGUUGGCCGAUGGCUGAUUAGCUAGUUGGUGGGGUAAAGGCCUACCAAGGCGACGAUCAGUAGCUGGUCUGAGAGGACGACCAGUCACACUGGGACUGAGACACGGCCCAGACUCCUACGGGAGGCAGCAGUGGGGAAUUUUGGACAAUGGGCGAAAGCCUGAUCCAGCAAUGCCGCGUGUGUGAAGAAGGCCUUCGGGUUGUAAAGCACUUUUGUCCGGAAAGAAAUCCUUGGCCCUAAUACGGUCGGGGGAUGACGGUACCGGAAGAAUAAGCACCGGCUAACUACGUG